rnacentral:lncRNA from 1 species
CUGGGCACUGAACCACGGCUUGCAGUGCAAGCGCCCACGGAGCCCCCUGGGGGCCUGCGGCGCCACUCAGGCUGACGGUGUUAGGCUCACACUAGUGGAUUUCCUGACUGACAUCAGGAUCUGACAUCAUUGCUGACCCUCCUGCCUCUACCUUCCACGUGCUGGGAUUGCGGGCAUGUGCCGCUUCGUGUCACCUCAUGUCACCAUGCCUCUGGCUGAGUUCUGCUUUCUUCCCUGAACUGAAGAUGUGAAAACCCUAAAGAGGAAGUGCACUGCAAAGGACUUUCCUUUUGAGGGGCGAGUCAUUCUAGAAAGUUCCUUCCUGCUGACCUGUAGCGCCGGCUCUUCCCUUAGGGCAGCUCCCAUGCAGUUGUGGGUAGGCACCUGGUUUCUACCCAAAUUGCUGGCCAGUUUGCCUAAUCCUGUGGCACUGUUAUGAAAUCCUAAUU